rnacentral:rRNA from 1 species
UACGUAGGGUGCGAGCGUUAAUCGGAAUUACUGGGCGUAAAGCGUGCGCAGGCGGUUCGUUGUGUCGGCGGUGAAAUCCCCGGGCUCAACCUGGGAAUGGCCGUUGAAACUGGCGAACUGGAGUGUGGCAGAGGGGGGUGGAAUUCCGCGUGUAGCAGUGAAAUGCGUAGAGAUGCGGAGGAACACCGGUGGCGAAGGCAGCCCCCUGGGCUGACACUGACGCUCAGGCACGAAAGCGUGGGGAGCAAACAGG